ACCAGACUUGGCCCAUGGAUCCUCGUUAAGGGAUUUAAAUUGUACUCAUUCCAAUUACCAGACCUGAAAGGCCCGGUAUUGUUAUUUCUUGUCACUACCUCCCUGUGUCAGGAUUGGGUAAUUUGCGCGCCUGCUGCCCUCCUUGGAUGUGGUAGCCGUUUCUCAGGCUCCCUCUCCGGAACCGAACCCUAAUUCUCCGUCACCCGUUAAUGCCAUGGUAAGCCACGACCUUACCAUCGAAAGCUGAUAGGGCAGAAAUUUGAAUGAACUAUCGCCAGCCUGAAGCCGUGCGAUUCGAUCAGUUACUAUGAAUCACCAAAGAACGGGUUGCCCCGGUUGGUUUUGUAUCUAAUAAAUACAGCGCUUCCCGAAAGUCGCGCUUUUACGCAUGUAUUAGCUCUAGAAUUACUACAGUUAUCCAUGUAGUGAAGUACCAUCAAAGAAAUAAUCACUGAUAUAAUGAGCCGUUCGCAGUUUCACAGUAUAAAGAUGUUUAUACUUAGACAUGCAUGGCUUAAUCUUUGAGACAAGCAUAUGACUACUGGCAGGAUCAACCAG
rnacentral:rRNA from 1 species